ensembl:snRNA U4 U4 spliceosomal RNA
AGCUUUGCGCAGCGGCAGUAUCAUAGCCAAUGAGGUUUGUCCGAGGCGUGAUUAUUGCUAAUUGAAACAUCAUGCUUCCUUUAUUUAUCAGUCUGUUGAUCAAUAUAUACCAAAAUUUAGCUAUUAUGAAUUAU